GAGAAGGCCAGAAGGCCAGAAGAUGGGGAGGACUCAAGGAGAAAGUGUGGACUAGGGAGAUAGGGAGGAUGCAAUGAGGAGGCGGCGAGGCAGCAGGAAGGCGACAAGGGCCGAGGAGGAGGACCAGACAACAUGAGGGUUGAGGAGGAGGUGGGGACACUAGGAAGGAGGCGAGAUGGGGAGACUAUGACAACACAAGGAGGUGAUGGUCGAUGGGGGGGACCGGACCAUGCGAGCAGGCAAUAAGGAGCAGUGGUGACAAUGUGAGGGCGGAUG
rnacentral:lncRNA from 1 species